rnacentral:tRNA from 1 species
AUGACCGUAGCUCACUGGCGAGAGUCCGGAGUAUCGUUCUGGAGGUUGCGGGUUCGAGUCUCCCCGGCCAUA